AAGCCGUGAUGAGGACACUUACGAAGAAGGUCCUUAAAUCGUUCAUGGGCUUCAAAUAGUGUCUCACUAUCACCUUGUCUGAAAGACGAAAUCUCCUGUCUCAAUCU